rnacentral:sRNA from 1 species
ACGGUCUUUGGUCAAGGGUAUACAAGUAGCUGCGCUCCCCUGCUAGAACCUCCAAACAAGCUCAAGGUCCAUCAGCUUCUUAAUGAAGCCUCUCAGAAGACAGUUAUGCUAGGUUCUUGUAUGUAAGCAUAGC